CGCUGAGUCAUGAAGAAAGCCUGCGUGGAAACGCGGCCUUCGGCAGAGAGGGCCGGAGCGGGCCGCAGACCGGUGCAGUGUCUGGUGCCAGGCAUGCCAGGCCUCCACUGUUGUGCCAAGGGUCAGGGACCCUGUGGAGGACUAGAUUUGGGACUGGUGUUGGAAGGACCUGUCCCACUACGAUGGACUUCUGCUUUUGCUUAGAAGUGCCAGCAUCCCAGGCGGGCAUCGGUUCGAGACCCAGCUGCUCCACUUCCGGUCCAGCUCUCAUGGCCCAAGUCAUUGGGCCCCUGCACCCACGUGGGAGACCCAGAAGAUAAUCCUGGCUCCUGGCCUCAGAUCGGCACAGCUCCUGCCAUUGCAGCCAAUUGGGGAGUGAACCAGCAGACAGA